CCAAUUGUCAAACCAAGCAAUUUGAAGCCACACGGAUGAAGAAAAAAAAAGUAGGCAAACCAAUGGUGUAGGUCGAUUGUGUGUGCAUAGCAUUACUCAGCACAGUUCUUGCGGAUUACUCAAAACUCAAGUGAAUGAGGGCCACCCCGAUAAAAGAAGAUUACAAGGCGCCAAAGAAGAAGCGGAAGCGCCAACACUACAAAUACACGGUGGAAGCUGAAAAUUGGCAACCCCGCGGCUGAAAAUUUGCAAUCCCUUGCAAAACAGCAAACGCCACACAGGACACGGCACCACGCACCUCAGCGCUACUCAACCAUGUCGGUCUCGGCUGGAAAAUCCCCGGCAGUUCCGGCGGCCGACGGAGAAGACGGCAGCGAUGCGGCGGCCGN
rnacentral:lncRNA from 1 species